rnacentral:tRNA from 1 species
UCCCGGCUGGCUCAGUUGGUAGAGCGUGUGACUCUUGAUCUUGAGGUUGUAAGUUCGAGCCCCACACUGGGUG